AUGAGUGGCGAACGGGUGAGUAACACGUGAGUAACCUUCCCUUGACUCUGGGAUAAGCCCGGGAAACUGGGUCUAAUACCGGAUACGACCUCCUAUCGCAUGGUGGGGGGUGGAAAGAUUUAUCGGUUUUGGAUGGACUCGCGGCCUAUCAGCUUGUUGGUGAGGUAAUGGCUCACCAAGGCGACGACGGGUAGCCGGCCUGAGAGGGUGACCGGCCACACUGGGACUGAGACACGGCCCAGACUCCUACGGGAGGCAGCAGUGGGGAAUAUUGCACAAUGGGCGCAAGCCUGAUGCAGCGACGCCGCGUGAGGGAUGACGGCCUUCGGGUUGUAAACCUCUUUCAGUAGGGAAGAAGCUUUCGGGUGACGGUACCUGCAGAAGAAGCGCCGGCUAACUACGUGCCAGCAGCCGCGGUAAUACGUAGGGCGCGAGCGUUAUCCGGAAUUAUUGGGCGUAAAGAGCUCGUAGGCGGUUUGUCGCGUCUGCCGUGAAAGUCCGGGGCUUAACCCCGGAUCUGCGGUGGGUACGGGCAGACUAGAGUGCAGUAGGGGAGACCGGAAUUCCUGGUGUAGCGGUGAAAUGCGCAGAUAUCAGGAGGAACACCGAUGGCGAAGGCAGGUCUCUGGGCUGUUACUGACGCUGAGGAGCGAAAGCAUGGGGAGCGAACAGGAUUAGAUACCCUGGUAGUCCAUGCCGUAAACGUUGGGCACUAGGUGUGGGGGACAUUCCACGUUUUCCGCGCCGCAGCUAACGCAUUAAGUG
rnacentral:rRNA from 1 species